UAUCUAAAUAGACACUGCCCACUUGUGAAGGCAGUAACGGGUAAUUACUACUAGUGUUAGUUAAAGUUAAUUAUCUAAAGCUACAUUUCUCACUUGUAUUUGUAAAUAAAGUAACUGGUAAGUAAUACUAGUGUUAGUUAAGGUUAAUUACCUAAAGCUGCAUUUCCCACUUGUGAAGACGGUCACAGGUAUGUUUCAGACAAGAACAGCGAAUAUAUGUAGGAUGUCGUUGUGGGCCUACCAACAUCCUUUGUACCUGGCGCCAGCUUCGGAAAGAAAUAGCAUUUGUUCAGCUAAGCUAUCUGUGAGUAAGCACAAAGCUACCCAGUGAGCCAUCUGUGCUGUGC